rnacentral:rRNA from 1 species
GUGGGGAAUCUUGCGCAAUGGGCGAAAGCCUGACGCAGCCAUGCCGCGUGAAUGAUGAAGGUCUUAGGAUUGUAAAAUUCUUUCACCGGGGACGAUAAUGACGGUACCCGGAGAAGAAGCUCCGGCUAACUUCGUGCCAGCAGCCGCGGUAAUACGAAGGGGGCUAGCGUUGCUCGGAAUUACUGGGCGUAAAGGGCGCGUAGGCGGACAGCUUAGUCAGAGGUGAAAGCCCAGGGCUCAACGUUGGAAGUGCCUUUGAUACUGGCUGUCUUGAGUUUGGGAGAGGUGAGUGGAACUCCGAGUGUAGAGGUGAAAUUCGUAGAUAUUCGGAAGAACACCAGUGGCGAAGGCGACUCACUGGCCCAAUACUGACGCUGAGGCGCGAAAGCGUGGGGAGCAAACAGGAUUAGAAACCCCAGUAGUCC